rnacentral:rRNA from 1 species
UACGUAGGGGGCAAGCGUUGUCCGGAUUUAUUGGGCGUAAAGAGCGUGUAGGCGGCCUGACAGGUCUGCUGUGAAAACUCGAGGCUCAACCUCGAGAUGUCGGCGGAAACCGUCUGGCUAGAGUCCGGAAGAGGAGAGUGGAAUUCCUGGUGUAGCGGUGAAAUGCGCAGAUAUCAAGAAGAACACCUAUGGCGAAGGCAGCUCUCUGGGACGGUACUGACGCUGAGACGCGAAAGCGUGGGGAGCGAACAGG